rnacentral:rRNA from 1 species
GUAGGAGGCGAGCGUUAUCCGGAUUCACUGGGCGUAAAGCGCAUGUAGGCGGUUGCACAAGUCCGUUGUUAAAGCCCCUGGCUCAACUGGGGGAGGUCAAUGGAGACUGUGCGACUUGAGGGCAGUAGAGGCACGUGGAACUCCCGGUGUAGCGGUGGAAUGCGUAGAGAUCGGGAAGAACACCAGUGGCGAAGGCGACGUGCUGGGCUGCAACUGACGCUGAGAUGCGAAAGUGUGGGGAGCAAACGGGAUUAGAUACCCCGGUAGUCCACACUGUAAACGAUGAACCCUAGGUGUGGGGGGGAAUACCCUCCGUGCCGAAGCCAACGCGUUAAGGGUUCCGCCUGGGGACUAUGAGCGCAAGCUUA